GUGCUGGACGAUAAUUCGAUAACAAUAUAUAUCGAUCGAUAGACGUGUGGUGCGAUAGAAAAAAAACGGGUCGAUAAAAAGUUCGAUAGAAAAACACAGUUUCCCUUUCUUUUUCAUCAUAGCCUAUCAUGUAGCUUUUACUACAGUCAUUACUUCCUCCCAACCAAUCACAAACGCAGACCCAGGUACGCUACGGCACCAAGCCCAGCCCCUAUCAAACCACAACAGACAGCACGUGUAGUAGAAAAAAUGAUACAGCAAGGAGAAGCGGAGGACAUUGUCCCGAAAAAAGGUUUUAGUAGUUCACCAGCAUGGCAAUGUUUUGUUUUUUAGAAGUCUGACAAAAAGCGACCAGCAGUCGUUUGCAAAAUUUGCAGAGAAUUAGUAAAAACCAAGUCUGGUAACACAACCAACUUGUUUUACCAUCUAAACCGAUCGCACCCGCAGGAGUACGAGCUGUGUCGGCCGCGCCGCGGCUCCACGUCAUCGUCGGAGGAAUCCUCUGGAACCGCUGCCAGCACCAGCACAAAGCAUGUGAAACAGACCAAACUGGACUUCGUUUCUUGCCAAAAUACGACAAAGCGUCCGAGCGGCAUAAGGACAUCACCCAUGCAGUAACAUGCUCCAUAACGAGGGACAUACUGCCAAUAACUACCGUUGAAAAGCAUGGCUUCGACCAGCUUCUAGCCACUCUCGACCCGCGAUAUGAAGUGCCCGGCCGCAAGUAUUUCUCAAACACA